rnacentral:rRNA from 1 species
UACGUAGGGUGCAAGCGUUGUCCGGAAUUACUGGGUGUAAAGGGUCCGCAGGCGGGCAGACAAGUCGGUGGUGAAAGUUCACGGCUCAACCGGGAAAUUGCCUUCGAUACUGUUUGUCUUGAGUUCGAGAGAGGAUAAUGGAAUUCAUGGUGUAGCGGUGAAAUGUGUAGAGAUCAUGAAGAACACCGGUAGCGAAGGCGGUUAUCUGGCUCGAAACUCCCUCUCAGGGACGAAAGCGCGGGUAGCAAACAGG